CCUUCAAUAGACUCACCAACUCUCCGGGACAGCAAUUCCCAGCCUGCCCCGCGCCGCAGGAUCUCGGGCGCGCGCGCAAGAGCAGCUGUCGCCGGCGCUGUCGCUCAACCCGCACUGGGGAAGCGAAAGUGUGGGCGUGCCCCGUGAAGUCAGCUGCCGGACCCUGCGCCUCCUGAUGCCUCAAGGCAUCGCCAGGGACGUUCUCCUGCCCCUCUCCAGGCAUUUCUGGAGCAUUUCUGAGGUUGGGUUCUAUGAAUGUUGGAAACAUGGGUGUAGGGGAAGUGGAAAGAGCAAAGGUUUCUUUCCCCCCUCUUAUAAUGCUGGAACUCAGAGCCCUUCAGUGAAGCUGAAUGUUGGAAGAUUUCAGGGCAGACGAAACGAAGUCCUACCUCACUCAGUGUAUCCUUAAACAGUGUUGGCUGCCGCCUUAAAUGACUCGAAAAGAGGGUUUGGCAGAUUCAUGGUGGAUAAGC